UGGGGGACAGGGUCUGCCCGUGUCAUUCCUCACUCUGUCCCCAGCACCUACAGCAGGACCUGGAAGGAAAUCGGAACUUUACUGAUUGCAUGGUUUUUAUCUGCCGACGUUUAAUAAUGAGCUUGAAGCAAACGCUUUGAGGGAUCCAGAGAUGUCCACCGGACUCACUGACAUAGAUUAGUGUCUACGCCGUACAUGCGCUUGACACUGAUGCCCAACACAGAGAGACUGCGGCUCGCAAAGCUCAGACUUUCCAGGCCCAGAGCGGUUUCUCAUAUUUGAUGAUCUCAGGAUUUUGCCAAAACGUUACAAGUUCGUGGCCUAGAAGGUCUGAGCUGAGGAAGCGUGCUGAAUGGUUCUACGUGCAGACGAAUGGAUGAAUGGAUGCGUGCGCCCAAAAUAAAUGGUCCUUUCAGGAAAAGAUCACAACCCUUAUUUGUCCUUCUCCGGAGCUCCUUCUAUUCACAGGACCUCUCUCCUGUCCCCUGAUCCUCUGUAAAAGUCAGCCAUUACAGAGCCAGAGCGAUACCCUGACAGGGUGAUCCGAGAAGACCUGACGUCACCAGCACACCGCCCUUCAUAAACUCUAAGCAGACAGACAUCACCGAAGAGGUGGUUAAACUGUGGUUCACGAGGCUGGUGGGAUGGCUCAGUGGGCAGAGGCGCCUGUCCCAGAACCUGAUGAUCUGAGGUUGAUCCUUGGGGUCCUCGUGGUGGAAUGAGAGAGCCAAGUCCCACGAGCUGUCCUCUUAUUUCCACGGGGCACUGUAGCAUACACCCGCACACAGAAAGACGAUA
rnacentral:lncRNA from 1 species